rnacentral:tRNA from 1 species
UAUAAGACAGUAUUUGAUGUACUUUAGAUUUUGAUUCUGAUGGAAUAAAUAAGAAUUUAUUCUUAUAA